GAUGCAAUAAUCUCGCAAGAGUCGCGAUUUUGGCAAUUUUUUUUUUCAUAAUUUGUACUGGAAUCCUUGAAAAAUAUUUGCGGAUUUCAAUUCACACGAUUAUGAGAAACUCUUUGGGAAACAUUUUUCCCUUGGUCCUGAAAGGGUUAAUGUAAGUCAGCCGCUGGAAUUGUGAUCAGGAUUUGAAGUCAAAAUCUAAUGCGAAGACGACACCAAAGAGCAUAUCGGGUUUCCAGCCAACAGUCGGGUCUACGGAACCGUAACGAGCCAGCAGCAUUCACCGUUACACGAACAGCGGAUAGAGUCCACUGCGCUAUGAAGCGCUAUGCGCGCAGUGAGAGAAUGCAGAGUAGUUUUGGUGAAGAACUGCAUAAACUACCAAUUAGUUCAUGCUUUGUUUUAAUUAAGUAAUGAAAGGAAGAGCACACACUAUUACGUGUUUUCCGACGAUUAUAAAGUAAGUUCAUAAUAAGAGUUCUCGUAGCCGACCACUAAAUGUAAUGAAAUGAUUAAAACCAAAUAAGAAAAUCA